rnacentral:lncRNA from 1 species
GUGUAAUCUGUACUGAUAGAGGGAUCCCUGGAGAACCUGGAGCAAAAGGUCAGAUAGGCCUUCCAGGAAGAAAAGGUGCAAAAGGAGAGAAGGGUAAGUUGGUCUGGAUAAAAACAAUUUGAGUACAAAACCUUUUCCAGGAGUGUCAAAUAUAAAUAUGCAAGAAGUUCAUGGUAACGUGAAGGAUGAGGCCCGUCAAUGUACAGAGUUACACGGUCUGUUGGCGUAGGGGCAUCUGAGUCAGCAGAGUCCUAUUUUAGUGCAGAGUUACUCAGCACUGUAAAGGGAGACUGAUAAUCCUCUCCAGGUGAGAUAACAUGAGAUAAAAUGGUCUGUGCACUACUCACACAGAAAAUAAAAAGGACAACAUUAUUUUUUGUGUAUUAAUUUUGCAACUUUCAAUGUAAUUUUGACACUUGCAUGUAGGAAGUCAAGGCCUCUGCUCAUGUAGUGCUGGUCCUCCUGGUCCCCGUGGUGUGCAAGGACCUCCAGGUACUCAAGGAAGGAAAGGACAAAUGGGAUACCCUGGAAGACAUGGAGAAAAGGGUGACCCAGGCUUAUCUGGUGCAGUGGGACCACCAGGGCUCCCUGGGACUCCUGGUUCUGCUGGACAGCAUGGGGAAAAAGGAGAGAGGGGUGAUCCAGGAAGAGUUAGAAUAAAAGGUAAAUACACAUUUUACCAUUAACCUUUUUUUUUCUAUAUGAUAUCUAGGCAGUAGUGUGAGAAAAAUAUUAAUUUACUCUUUAUUAAAUCCAUUAGCUCAGUAAGUUACUGAAACCUAGAGGGCAUGUAUAUCCAAACUGCUCUCUUGGUACCAUCUCUUCUUGCUAAACACAAGAUCAACAUAGUGUUUUGUGGUUUUUUUCACUAUAGUUAAGCCAUAAAACAGUUUUAACAGCAUGUUAUUAAUGCCAACAAAUGACUUUUCAUGUCAUGCAGUUGACAAUUGGGGUCUUCCAGAGGUCUGUACAGCAAAGACUAAGCAUACUGUGAAAUACUGUGAAAGCAUAAAGAAAUGCUAUUGUACAGAAGCCACCUUCUGAAGUGUCAUAUACCAAUAACAUAGCUGCUAUCUCAAAUUAGGCCUCCAACAUCCUUCUUGGGAAAACAUCAGACUCAAUGACUAUUCGGAUUCCUCUAUUUCUAAAAAUUGCUCUUGACCAGGCAUUGAAGAGAAACAAUAGGCCACCAGUUGCACAACUGGAAUUCUUGUAAUUAAAUAGAUCAAAACCUCUCCACAGUUAUGGUUAUGAUUUGCAAAAGCAAAAGAAACAGAGAACAAUCAAUAAAUUACAGCAAUCUGAUGGCA